CAGUGAACUUACUUCAGUUUAGCUGUCAGGGACCCGUGUAUGGUUUUUAUUCCUAGCUAGCAUAACUAAUUAUAACUGCACAAAUGGGCAACUCAGUCUAGUUCCAUCCCCAUCUCAGGAGUUGGAACUGAGUGAUCUUUAAGGUCACUUCCAGCCUAAGCUGUUCUGGGUUUCUGUACUGUAGAAAUGAGUCAGUGUUCUACUUGGAGUAAAAUGAACCAGGUAUGGCAGUGGUGGACACAGAGUGAAUGUGAGUUGCUUUCCCGUGUUUCAGUGUGGUCUUAAGUGUGCAGAAGUACAGUGUUUUCUGUUUUCCGUGUUCACGUGAACAGGGGAGGAAAACCACCUGAUUGCUGUACUGACAUAACAGCAAAACCUGUACUGGUUUUGUGUUUUUUAAGACAUGUCAUAGGGUUUGAGCAUCUCUUAGAAAUCUACAGGAGCUGAAUAUUCCAGUUUGUUUGUUUAAUAGUGUGAAAAGUACUGCUUUCUUGUCACUGUUACAAUCUUCUUUUGUUGGUGGUGGUGUUUAAGACAAAUCCUAAAACUAAUAAUUAGGGUGCAGCAAAAUUUCAGAAAGCUGGACGACGAGAGGUAAUUAUUAUUUCAAUAUCACCAGUUCACUUUAAUGUAAAAAGGGAACAAAGUGUCCAGCCAGCUGUUGGAAUGUUCCCUCUGUGGAUUAUGGACACAGAAAGUAAAGGUUGUGCAACGAGAGCAGCAAGCAGUGGCGUAUCCAUGUGAGUGUUUUGAGUGGGAAGCGGUGUUUUGAGAGCACACUGCUCUACAACACUUUGUGCAAAUAUUCUUUGCUUAGUACAGGAGUGGUCAAUGUUAGAAAGGUAACGAAAUGAUUGUGAACCUUGUCAGAUUGGUCAAACCACUGCAUAACAAGUUACCAUGCAGAUGGACAUGGACGUACUUCACACAGAUAACUUCUUGUUCUCCAUGGCUGUCCUACAGCUUCAUGCUAGCCUGCUUCCAUACUGGAUGGGCUUCAUUGUGGCUAACUAUUCAGCUCUACCAGGGAUUAUUUUGCUUCAGUUCACAUUCCUCUCGUCAUUAGCUGCCACAUGAACAUGUUUCCCUAAGUGAUGUGUUGCCUUAAAGGCAUUGCACCUGCUUUCCUAUUCUGACGUCAUAUCUGGGUGCUCCCCUUAAACCUCAGAGCAGUCCUUUCAAGUUUCACGGGUACGUGUGCACUUGUUAUUCUGAUGUUAAAAGUGGGAUCCAUUCUGCACGGCAUUCCUAUAUCUGAAUUCUAACGGCACCGUUGUCAAAAGUUCUAGCCUGUUGUGUGGGAACUGUUGAGUCACAGCCUGAGCCACUGUUGGAGCCCCUGGGGGAAGGACUGGGUCAGGCCUGGGAGCACAGGUGAAGGCAGUUCAGCUGUGUGACUGGAAGGGGUGGAGCCUGGCUGCACGUCUCUUAGACCCCAGUGAAGGGCUGACUGCCCCUGGGGAAGGAGCUCUUUCUGGAGAUCCCUCCCUGGUGGAGUUUUCCCCUGUGAGCCUAGAUCUGUGGAGAUGAGGGAGGUGUUAUAAGGGAAGGGGAAAAGAUUGUUUUCUGUUGCUCUGGUCCCUCUGUCAUUGCACCUCUUGUGUCCCCUUUCCAUUGGGUUGGUCUUUCUGAUUGUGAAACAUGUUUAACUAACGUGUUUAACUAAGGUUGAGCUAAGCUGUUGUUACUGUCCCAAAAUGGCCUGCGAACUCCAGUUGGAAAUUCCACGGCAGAGUUCAGCAGUGUGUUAUUAGGUUGCCGCAAUGAAAACGUGACCUGAAUUUCAUCCCCAUAAGGGCUGUCAAGUUUCUUUAAGUUUGUCCUUCUCCAGGAGGUGUUGGCUAAGCAAAUGAGGUUAAGAGCUUUCUGAACCACCUAAGAAACAGCUUUUUAACAUGGCUUAGGAUUCUCUUUUGGCUUAAGUGAAACUUAAGAUCAACUUUUAAGUCCCUAAAUGUGGCAGGAGUUACUUAGUGGUUAGAUAUGGCCAACGUCUUCCCAAUCCCUCCCCAGUUAAGAUUAUCUUUUGGUAUUGUCAGUAUUUACAUUUGUCAUGUUCAUAUUUCAGCCGUUACUCGUGUUUUUCUUUCUCGAAGACUGCAUUCUUGGGACUGACCUCACAUGAGAGAAUGAACCUCCUGAUGGAGAGCAAAUCCUCUAAGCAUCCUCUUUCACUCAGGAGAAAUCCAUACAAUCUUGGAUGCUUCCAGAAUCUUGCCGACUUCUUUCAAUGCAGAUGUUUUGGUAUGGUCAAACCCAGUGGAGUUGGCUGGACCAAGCAAUACAACGUUCACGUGAUAAAGAAGAAAAACGUUUGCUGUGUAUGAAUUCUUGCUUGAUUUCUAAAGCUGCUGAGCUGUGUGAGAAAUAAAACUGGAUGUUUUGUUAAUUUUUA